UACGUAGGGUGCGAGCGUUAAUCGGAAUUACUGGGCGUAAAGCGUGCGCAGGCGGUGAUGUAAGACAGAUGUGAAAUCCCCGGGCUCAACCUGGGACCUGCAUUUGUGACUGCAUCGCUGGAGUGCGGCAGAGGGGGAUGGAAUUCCGCGUGUAGCAGUGAAAUGCGUAGAUAUGCGGAGGAACACCGAUGGCGAAGGCAAUCCCCUGGGCCUGCACUGACGCUGAGGUGCGAAAGCGUGGGGAGCAAACAGG
rnacentral:rRNA from 1 species